GACGAACGCUGGCGGCGUGCCUAAUACAUGCAAGUCGAGCGAGCGGAACUAACAGAUUUACUUCGGUAAUGACGUUAGGAAAGCGAGCGGCGGAUGGGUGAGUAACACGUGGGGAACCUGCCCCAUAGUCUGGGAUACCACUUGGAAACAGGUGCUAAUACCGGAUAAGAAAGCAGAUCGCAUGAUCAGCUUUUAAAAGGCGGCGUAAGCUGUCGCUAUGGGAUGGCCCCGCGGUGCAUUAGCUAGUUGGUAAGGUAAAGGCUUACCAAGGCGAUGAUGCAUAGCCGAGUUGAGAGACUGAUUGGCCACAUUGGGACUGAGACACGGCCCAAACUCCUACGGGAGGCAGCAGUAGGGAAUCUUCCACAAUGGACGCAAGUCUGAUGGAGCAACGCCGCGUGAGUGAAGAAGGUUUUCGGAUCGUAAAGCUCUGUUGUUGGUGAAGAAGGAUAGAGGUAGUAACUGGCCUUUAUUUGACGGUAAUCAACCAGAAAGUCACGGCUAACUACGUGCCAGCAGCCGCGGUAAUACGUAGGUGGCAAGCGUUGUCCGGAUUUAUUGGGCGUAAAGCGAGCGCAGGCGGAAGAAUAAGUCUGAUGUGAAAGCCCUCGGCUUAACCGAGGAACUGCAUCGGAAACUGUUUUUCUUGAGUGCAGAAGAGGAGAGUGGAACUCCAUGUGUAGCGGUGGAAUGCGUAGAUAUAUGGAAGAACACCAGUGGCGAAGGCGGCUCUCUGGUCUGCAACUGACGCUGAGGCUCGAAAGCAUGGGUAGCGAACAGG
rnacentral:rRNA from 1 species